rnacentral:rRNA from 1 species
AUCCUCCAAGGCUAAAUACUACUGACUGACCGAUAGUGAACUAGUACCGUGAGGGAAAGGCGAAAAGAACCCCGGAGAGGGGAGUGAAAUAGAUCCUGAAACCGUAUGCGUACAAGCAGUGGGAGCCCACUUUGUUGGGUGACUGCGUACCUUUUGUAUAAUGGGUCAGCGACUUAUUUUCAGUGGCGAGCUUAACCGAAUAGGGGAGGCGUAGCGAAAGCGAGUCUUAAUAGGGCGUCUAGUCGCUGGGAAUAGACCCGAAACCGGGCGAUCUAUCCAUGGGCAGGUUGAAGGUUGGGUAACACUAACUGGAGGACCGAACCGACUACCGUUGAAAAGUUAGCGGAUGACCUGUGGAUCGGAGUGAAAGGCUAAUCAAGCUCGGAGAUAGCUGGUUCUCCUCGAAAGCUAUUUAGGUAGCGCCUCAUGUAUCACUGUAGGGGGUAGAGCACUGUUUCGGCUAGGGGGUCAUCCCGACUUACCAAACCGAUGCAAACUCCGAAUACCUACAAGUGCCGAGCAUGGGAGACACACGGCGGGUGCUAACGUCCGUCGUGAAAAGGGAAACAACCCAGACCGUCAGCUAAGGUCCCAAAGUUAUGGUUAAGUGGGAAACGAUGUGGGAAGGCUUAGACAGCUAGGAGGUUGGCUUAGAAGCAGCCACCCUUUAAAGAAAGCGUAAUAGCUCACUAGUCGAGUCGGCCUGCGCGGAAGAUGUAACGGGGCUCAAACCAUACACCGAAGCUACGGGUAUCACUUAGGUGAUGCGGUAGAGGAGCGUUCUGUAAGCCUGUGAAGGUGAGUUGAGAAGCUUGCUGGAGGUAUC